rnacentral:lncRNA from 1 species
AUGAAUUGAUCAGUAGCAGAAAUAAACCAAGCAUUAAUAGAGUUAGGAUGCCAUAAGACCCAUAUUCUACCAAAAGUUUCAUUUGAGUCAUUGGUAAACAGUUAUGUGUCCGGCCAUAUUAAAUUCUUUUGAGCUUGAACGCGCGAUUGUUUAAUUUUCGUUUCUACUAGAAUAACAAUAUCACAUGCGGCAGACUUGAUUAUUCUGUUGAGCUCCCGACAUUUCUCCGGCUUAUUAAGUCCGCGAACAUUCCAACAUGUUAUCUUCAUCAGUAAUAAAGAAAUGAAAAGGUGGUAAGGUAUUCAUCCUACGACUUUGGAUGGACUGUACCAUCCUUUUUCUUAUCCUUCGGUUUUGUAUUUUCCUCCCGCACAAUAUCCUUACCUUUUAUGGCUUUAUUCCUAUAUUUAUCCACUUCAUCUACAGCUUACAGAUUUUUAAACUUUAAAAUACCUUG